CAACCCUCAAGCGCGCAGCUUGGUGUUGGGCCACGCCGCCAGCAGCGGCCGGCCCCAAAGCCAGCGGCGGCGCCGCCGGGGCCCCGAGCGUAGUAGAUACCCCCCGCUCCCGGGCACGGCGGCCGCCAGCCGGACCCCCCGUCCUCGUG
rnacentral:misc_RNA from 1 species